GGAGCAGUUUGUGGGCAGAGAGCAGAUUGAAAUCUAACAGAGCUUGCCUAUAAGAAGGGCCCCUUUCCUGAUGCACGGAGAAAGGCUAAAGUAGGCAAUUGCAGAUGCUGUCUAUGGGCCAAGCACACAAGAAGCUAUCUCUCUGAGGUCUGAGGA